UUUUAGCCCAGAUGGGAAUGAAAAUCCUUUGGGGUUGAAAUGUAUUUUUUAUGGUCCAAAAAAAGCGACUAAAAGAAGCUCUUUUUUGGGCCAAUAAAAAAACAAUUUCAAGCCUAAAGAUUGUAAUGUACAGCUGGAUUAAGC
rfam:Flavobacterium sp. LM5 Flavobacterium_sp_LM5_contig1, whole genome shotgun sequence.